rnacentral:ncRNA from 1 species
AAUCAGUUUUAUUCUUGCUGGGUUAUUCAUUGUGUUCUUGCUUUAUAUGUAAGUUUUUGCGUGAUUGUUUUUUAGUUCUGUUAUGGGCUGGGAGUUAGGGUGAUAUUUUUAAGGUCAUGAUUAUUCGCAUUAUUUAGUUUUAUAUAUCUUGGUUUCUUGGAUUUAGCAAUGAUUUUAGUGUCGGUUAAGUUUGUGCCAGCUGCCGCGGUUAUACAUUAGAUGCUAUUGAAUAUUUUCGGUUGUGUAGUUUUAUUAAGUGUUGUUGGCUUGUAAUUGGUUGAUUUUGUUUGGGUGAAAUCUAAUUUUUUGUUAAUUGUUUUUAUUAUUUUGUAGGCUAUGAAAUCUUCUUUAUAAACUAGGAUUAGAUACCCUAUUAUUAUUUGAUGUUAAUUUAUUUGUCCUGGGUAGUACGAGUUAAGUUCUUUAAACCCAAAGAAUUUGGCGGUAUUCUUUACCUUUUAGAGGAAUCUGCUCCGUAAUCGAUAGUCCGCGUUGGACCUUACUUAAUUUUUUUUUGUUUGUAUACCGCCGUUGUAUAGAAGAUCCUUAUAGUGUUUAAUCUUCUAGAAUCAUCAUUGUGAUUUAUUUCAGGUCAAGGUGCAAUUAUUUUUAAGUGUGAAGUGGAUUACACUGUGUUGUUGAAUUUUUGGAUUACUGUUUGUAAUUAUUAGUAUGAAAUUGGAUUUAAUUGUAAUUUGUUGUAGAUUGUAUUAAUGAUUUUGGUUCUGGAAUAUGUACACAUCGCCCGUCGCUCUCAUGGAUUGAUGAGAUAAGUCGUAACAUAGUGGUCGUACCGGAAGGUGUGGCUGGAUUGAU